AGCAGCCGCGGUAAUUCCAGCUCCAAUAGCGUAUAUUAAAGUUGUUGCAGUUAAAAAGCUCGUAGUUGAAUUUCGGGAUCAAUUAGUCGGUCGUGCCUCUGGUACGUACUGGUUUUAUUGGUUCCUCCCUUCUGACGAAACAUGAUGUCAUUAAUUUGGUGUCGUGGAGAAUCAGGACUGUUACCUUGAAAAAAUUAGAGUGUUUAUAGCAGGCUAACGCUUGAAUACAUUAGCAUGGAAUAAUGAAAUAGGACGUUCGACCCUAUUUUGUUGGUUUCUAGGAUCGACGUAAUGAUUAAUAGGGAUAGUUGGGGGCAUUAGUAUUCAAUUGUCAGAGGUGAAAUUCUUGGAUUUAUUGGAGACUAACUACUGCGAAAGCAUUUGCCAAGGAUGUUUUCAUUAAUCAAGAACGAAAGUUAGGGGAGUCGAAGACGAUCAGAUACCGUCGUAGUCUUAACCAUAAACUAUGCCGACUAGGGAUCGGAUGAUGUUAAUUUUUUAAUUGUACUCAUUCGGCGCC
rnacentral:rRNA from 1 species